GUUGUUACCCCCAAGCCAUAAGACUCCUGAACAGGAGAGAGAGGAGAGUCUCCGCCAAGAAUUUACGACCUGAGAUAACAGCACCUGGGUGUAGGAGUCAGAGAGGGGGAAGCYACGAUCUACACCCAGAAAGGGCCACGUCAUGACAACUGUGAUGCUGGAUGUGCAUGAUGACACCAGUGGUGUGUCAGAUGUAGGCCUACAUCACAAUGACAUAGCUGUAAUAGUGGAUGCCGGCCGCUGCUGAUUCCUUGCUUCUCACUAGGCGAUGUUGCCACACCUCAGCUGAGCAGAGGAUCCAAUAUGACAAACCAUGCAGCAAUUUCUCAAUGGUACAGCUUCUUGGUUAAAUACAAAGGUUCUCUUUCAUUUUCUCCUCUACAUUUGGAUUGACAAUGGUGCUUGUGUGCAUCUAAUAUAGUUUAUGAGCUUUGAUUUGAAGCAUAACCAUACGGCUUUAGAAGUAUAACACAGAAACUAUAGAUAACGCUAUCCAGAAAUCUUACAUACUGUUUUCUGAAAGUUAUUUUAAAACUGUAAAUCCUAAAGAAAAUUAUCCAACUUGUAACUCUGAUUUGGACUAUCGGUUUCUGUCAAAACUCCCACACUGAUGAAAGUAAUAUUGUGGAAAGCCUAGAUAUGGAACAGCUUGGAUGUCAUCAGUCUUUGGGCAAGUCAUCGUGAGGUUAAAUCACGUCCUCUGCCUCUCUUACUCCUCUCUGUCACUUCUCUCCUCUACACGUGGUCAUUGCUUCAACAUUGCUUCAGCACGUGGACAUUGCGGCCCUCCUGAUCAAGUUCAAAUGAAGUGUUCAGUAUUCUCUGAUUCUCAACACAAGCAAGAGAGCUCUCAUACAUUGAGUAUACCAAACAUUAGGAACAACUUCCUAAUAUUGAGUUGCACCCCCUUUUGCCCUCAGAACAGCCUCA